AAGUUUUAGCGAGAUUUCCCAGCGAAGGUAUAUGAAUGAACACCGGAGCACCGAGUUUAACCGCUCCGGUGUGACUGAAUAAUGCGCUUUUUCGUGGGUUUUCAUUCAAAGUGCCUCUGUGAACACGUUGGUUUUUAUAAAUAUAUUUUUUAAAAAAACAAACUAAACAACAGAAAACAGAUCGUAUCUCAUCAUCGAUCUUGACGCUGAGCUGCUUCCAGGAGUGUCUCAUUGCAGGACACGCAGAACAAAAGGCUGUGACUUGGCAUGACCGAUGAGAACUCCCCUUUGUAUCGUCUCUCGGUUGAAUAUACGAGCCUGCGGAUGAUCAGUUUAACGCUGCUGGACUGUGGAUUUUCUUUUUGAAGGACUCGUGUCAGAUUUUCGUCACCAGGGACGUACCGCCGCGCCUUUGUGCUGCAGCCAAUUCAACUUUAAAGGGAACUUAG